CCAAACCUUCCUCAGCUUUUCACACUAGUUUCUGUAAAUGUGUUAGUUCAGAAUUUAAUGCUUGUACAGUUGACGGCAAUUUAAAAAAUAUAUAUUAUAUAUAUAUAUACACAUAUAUAUAUAUGGGAAAACUUUAAAGAUGCUUUUAAUUUAUUUAAUGACUGUUGCUUUUCUAUAAUGGUAAUUUUCAUCCUUAGAUGGUGAGAAGAAAUUCUUUUUACUAUAGUUAUUACAUGGAAAGUGAAAUUUGGUUCUUUAGUCAAAUCCACUGCUGGGACAUGUCGCAGUGAGACUGUGCAAGACACGUCACUACUGAUGGAUAAGUUUUGCUGACUUUGUAUCAUUUUCCUCCAGUAAUGGAGAGCUUUUCAUUAUACAAUAUGAAAAUAAAAAUUGCUUAAUUGAAUGCUUCCCCAUUCUUCUCUACUAUACUGUGCUGCGUUUGAAAAGAAGUUACAGAGGUUGGGCACAGAGUUGAACAUUUUCACAUGGUGUUCUGAGUGGGGCGUUGCCACCCACUAUCAACAAAGUAUGGUUACCUCGUGGAAAAAAAACUGAAACACACCCAGAAGGAGGAAACUUGUCUUCCGAACUGGAGAAACUCCACUUGAAUUCUUUUGUGUUUGUUUGGUUUUAACCACAAAGUCCCCAUUUCUUAUUUGGAGAUAUUUUUCCCCCCUCUGGGAGCCUGACUCCCUGUUUUGACAAUAACAUGACCUCACCACAUAUUGUUAGAGUAUUCUAGGUACAUUUUAGACGAUAAGCAUUUAACUGUAGUUAAUCUGAUCAUCGGGGUAGAUUGCUUUAUUUUUGUUUAAGCUCUUGUCUUCCCUUGAAGAAAAAGAAUGACCUGAUGUUAAGAAGUAAAUCAUAAUUUCCUAUUUUUGCACUCAUUUAAUCUAUAUCAGAUUUAUUCAGACUGUGAAGUUUAAUUAAAAUCUAUAGCAUUUUGGAAUUUUUAGACACUUUAGAGAUCAUCUUGAACAACUUUCUUCACCUCUUUGGGUCUCAAUUUACUCAUCUAUAAGAUGAGGCGAUGAAUUUCCUGCCUCAUAAGCUUGUUGUAAUGUUUAAUAAGACAAUACAUGCAGAUGAUUUCACCAAGUGCUUGAAACAGAAUACUUGGUUAUUGUCAGUUAUUAUUAUUAUCUUUAUAAUUAUUAUCUAAUUCAGUCUUCCCAUUUUCCAAAUAAGGACUUGUAGACAUGUUAGAGUUUACACCCACUGGAAUGUCUACUGACUGUGCCCUCCACUAAAAACUCGCUCCCAUCAACAAGGGAUGGUUUCCUUGACAUGACAAACAUGGGCAUCGGACAAACGCUGGACCAGGGCUGGUAAACCUGGGAGGAGAUGCAGCAGCAACGCUGCCCGGGAGGGUUGUAAUUCUCUUACAUCAGGCAAGCAACGUCUAAAUUGUUCAGUCUCAGAACUGCAGAUAAGUUCUAUGUCACUAUUAUCAAGUGACUAUCGACCAGUUAAACUAAAACAUACCGUAAGGUUUUAUACAUUCAGAUCUGCAACACACAAGAUUACGAAUCCAUGAAACUUUUCUUCAUGGUCUUUGAUCACAACUGGAUGUUCUCAGACCUUGAGUUUUUAAAUUCAAUUUUUUUUUGUUCUAGUAUUUGUCUUUUUCAUUUGCAUUUGCUGUAAUCCUGGAGUCCAGCCCUGGCCUUGUUAAGCUCUGGGCUUGUGCACUUUGCUAUGUUCCUUCACCUACUUUCUCUUAGGGCAUCUUACAGCAUAAGGGACCUAGUCAGUGGUAUUGUAACAGCCUUGUAUGGGGGCAGAGGGUGGCUGCAGUGGUGGUGAGCACAGCCUCACGUGUAGACUUCUCGAAUGGCUGCAGUGUACACUUGAAGGUAACGUAACGUUGUGUGUCAACCACACUCAAAUUAAAAGAACAUAAAAAAUAGAUUUGUAAAGAGAGUACAGCGUGGAGUUAGGAGCUCAGGCUUGGAGUCAGACUGUCGCAUCAGAAUCUCGACUCUGUCACUAACCACAUGACUUGUGCAAGUUGCAAAACCUGUGUCCACUUCCAUGACCUCAUGUGUUAAGUAAGAAUGAAACAUAGACCCUCUUGCAGAGCUGGAAGGAUUACUUGAGUUGUUGCCUAUGAAGCUUUACAGCUUCAAUGUUCUAGAAAAUAUUAUAGAUAUAUUAUAUUAUAGCUUUUUGAUGUAUUAGAUGUAUUUUAUGUGUUUCUGUGAAUGAGUCCUUUGACCUGAGAAGUAGGAUUUCAGGUAUUAUUCCCAGUUUAUUCACCAAGGAGAAUAAUUGCCUCCGCCGAGGUAGGAGCCGUGUUGGUGGCAGAGCUGGGGGUCACAGAGUAGUGGACUUGCUCUGAUCGUCCCGUUCUCCACUUUGCUUCCCAUGCCUCUUCCCAGAGAAAGCUGUCAAGUAAAUAUUCUCUCAGAGUUCAGAGAAAUAUGGAGGAAAUGGACCAAGGCCUCAGACAGGGAGCAAAAAAUAAGCUUCAGUCUUUAGUAAGGGCAACAUUUGUUUAAUGUUUGGGUCUGAGCCUGUUUGCCUGAAUUGGAUUUCCUGCCUCAUUGUAGGUCAACCCCAGCGGGUAUGGAGACUGUCCGUGGAGCUAAGGUCCCGAAAGAUGGAAAAGGUGUGCUUUGUGUAGAUGAUCCUAAAAAGGAAAAAGUCAAAGAGGGGCUGAACUUCCGGUUGCCAUUUUCCCCCAUGAUCAGUCAGACAAGUUGACCCCUUAAAAAGAAAGAGUGGAGACAGGAACUGAAAAUAUCACUUCACUACUCUCCUGGAAGAGAGCACACAGGACUCUUUUUCCCUGUAUGGGAAACUGGAAGUCCAGUAUUACGAGGAACCUCCUCUUCCAACUCCUGUAGUGCCGUCGCAAUGGGAAGCUAUGCCCUUCCGCAUAUCCCAUUAAGCAUGAAGAACCCGAAAGAACAAGUUUAUGAUGUUUGCGUGUAAUCUUCAGUCUUCACCUCUCCCCACUGAGGAAUAUGGGCCCAUGGGUAGACGGCCAAUUCUCAGACUUUCACGAUUUGGAUCAACCACUGCCUUCCCAUGAGGAAGAGCCAGGAGAGGAGAGAGAAGUAGGACGUGUCUUCUACCACAGUGUCCUUUUAUCCAGCAGGGGUAAAAUUGAACCCCAUUUAUGGAAAGGUGAGGAAUGGGUAAAACUGACCCCCCAAGAUAAACUAUGUUAUGAACUGUCUCCUAUCACCUUUUUAACUUAUACUGAACAUUUAUUACGAAUCUAAAAGGAGCAAAUGUGGUAUACGGUAAUCAUUUCAGUUAGUGAUUGGGAUGUGGUUUUGUAGGAAUUCCUCGGUCCUGUUUAUUAUUCCUAUUUUCUCCAGGACAAUCAAAAGACAUGGAAAAAAUAAUCCAACUUUGGUUGCCUUGAGUCGAAGGCCAGAGUGGUCUGGGUGUUGGAGCUGCAGCCUGCAGGAGAGUGAGGUCUACCUGCGAGACAGUUGGGAGCUGCUCCCAUUAACGAGAUCUGGAAGGUCUGGGAAUACACAUGUGAACAAAACCACCCCGCUGCUUGCUCUCCAAGGGCUCACAGUCUUACGGACGCAAGAGAUGAUUCUGCAGGCAAAGCACAGUGACCCAAAAAGAUGCUAAGAAAGCCAGGUAGGGUCCGAACCCCUCAGAGAGUCCCACUACCUCAUCUGGAGAGCAGCAGCCAGCAACUCUCUUCUUGACCCAACAGGUAGUACGGAUGAUUGCUGCUGUCGCCGGCGGACCAUCGGGGUGCAAUUUUCCAACUGGUAGGAAGCUGGGCUUCCAGCCAGGAACCAUCCGGAUACUGCAGGAGCCAUUUCCUGGCACCUGAGACUAAUGGUUCCAGAGCAUCUGGUCAUAAGUUCAAUAAACAUUUAUUGAGCACGUACAAUAUGCUAGGCACCAUGGAUGUAAAGUCACACAACACACCAUGGGGACGCUGACAUGCAAGUGAGUAACCGAAAUGCCCCAUAAGUGCACCACAGACUCGUGCUCAGGGCAUCCUCAGAGUCUCCUGCCCCACCCCACAAGGCAGUCCUUCAGACUCAGCGCCGACGAUCACGCACCAACCACCAGGAAUGUUGCACAGUCUGAGAGAAUCACAUUAAGAACCAGAAUGGCCACCUGUCCUACUUGGCCCAGGUCAGUCCCCAGAUCCCAUCUUGCUCUGGCGUAACUAAAGCAUCCCCUCUUUCACUCUCAAAAAUGAUCCUGCUUGUUUGAUAAAUGAUACAGUCAACCAACCGAGGUCUCAUGAAGGUUGAUAUCUGCUUGGCUCUAGCACACAGGAAACGGUUUCCUGCUCUUUUCUGGAACCCUGACUAGGCGCGGAGCCUAGUGCUGGGUGCUAGGGUCCCCCACUCUUCCAGAGAGCCAGAGGCAAGGGCAUUAUCCUGCCCUACUGAUGAGGACAUGAAAUUUUAGGGAGUUCAGUUACUUCCCAGGAGUCACAAAGAUAUUAAAGGGUAAUACUGGGAUUCAAACACGAGUGUUUCUCGCUUCUUGUAGCCACAGAAGGGUAAGUUUGACAACUACAUUAAGGACCAGAGAAGAGUGAUUCUCAGAGAAGCUGUGGAAAACAAAGUAGUUGAUCGGGUGCGAGACACUCUGGACCUGGACCUUCACGGUAGAGACAGGAGGUCUACGGACGCCCCAGCCUGUGAAAGGCCCGAUCCUCGUCCACCCCCACCCUCUCCUUGUCUAGGCUGAGCCCUCCACCACCAUUUCUUCAUCUCAGACGGCGGGAUUCGGACCACAGCGCAUGCACCGGCGCAGGGGUGGCUGACUGAGGAAGCUGGUGGGGGUGGGAAUGUGUCCCCACCACACAAGCUCUCUGCUGGGCUGCCUCCCUCCGAGACAGACUUUGUGUCUUUGCAAGUUUCCUUUUCCCUCCUUCCGUAUGGAGACCUAAUCUAACGCCUCCGGGAUAUGAGAAGAGAGAACUCUUCACCAGUGAAAUGGAACUUUCAUGGUCUGUGAAAGAUACAUCUCUUUUGUUAGUCUCUUUAUUCACCUCUGCAGUACUAUAAACCGAAGCAGGAAAUUAUACUUUCACAUUAGGAAACAUUGUAGAAGGCACAGUUAGAGCGUUUCAUGGAAAUAUGUCCCAGUUGCUUAGGCUUUAAUUUCCUUCUUCCAUAAAAAUUGCUUAAUUGGUUUAUGUGAUAAUAAAACUAAUCUAUCAUAAUUGUGGGCAAUAGAGACAACAGAGAAAGGUAUAAAAAUAAAGUGGAAAUUGUAAUCUCACCACUGAGAAAUAACCAUUAGUAACGUUUUAAUGAUAUGUUCCUGGAUAUUUUUCCAUGCUAAUUCAUGUACAUAUGCUAUUUAUUAUUUCAAAUAAAAUUGUGGUAUACUUUUCUAA